rnacentral:rRNA from 1 species
UCGGGAAUUUUGGGCAAUGGGCGAAAGCCUGACCCAGCAACGCCGCGUGAAGGAUGAAGUAUUUCGGUAUGUAAACUUCGAAAGAAUAGGAAGAAUAAAUGACGGUACUAUUUAUAAGGUCCGGCUAACUACGUGCCAGCAGCCGCGGUAAUACGUAGGGACCAAGCGUUGUUCGGAUUUACUGGGCGUAAAGGGCGCGUAGGCGGCAAUUCAAGUCAUCUGUGAAAUCUCCGGGCUUAACUCGGAACGGUCAGAUGAUACUGCUUUGCUAGAGUGCAGAAGGGGCAAUCGGAAUUCUUGGUGUAGCGGUGAAAUGCGUAGAUAUCAAGAGGAACACCUGAGGUGAAGACGGGUUGCUGGGCUGACACUGACGCUGAGGCGCGAAGGCCAGGGGAGCAAACGGGAUUAGAUACCCCAGUAGUCCCUGAGCGGGCUGGCAAGGCGCAU